rnacentral:rRNA from 1 species
CUGCUGCCUUCCGUAGGAGUCCGGGCCGUGUCUCAGUCCCAGUGUGGGGGGCCUUCCUCUCAGAACCCCUACGCAUCGUCGCCACGGUGGGCCGUCACCCCGCCGUCUAGCUAAUGCGCCGCAUGCCCAUCCGCCACCGGAUCGCUCCUUUGGCCACCGGAGGAUGCCCUCCGGUGGCGUCACGGGGUAUUAGGCCGCGUUUCCGCGGGUUAUCCCCCUGUGGCGGCCAGGUUGCAUACGUGUUACUCACCCGUGCGCCGGUCGCCGG